rnacentral:lncRNA from 1 species
UAUAUCCAUGACCCACUGCUGAAGGACAGAAUUCAUUGUGUGGUGUUUGUGUUUGAUAUCAAUUCUUUUAACCAGCUCUCUUGUGAGCUAGUGGCAAAGAUCAAGCAAAUUCGAAGAGACUUGAUAAAGCAUGGCAUUCUGCAUUUGGCUUUGCUUACACACGUGGAUAGCCUGACUUGGAUUACAAAAGGAGAUCUGCUAGACAUAUACAGCUGUAAUCCUGUGAAGGUCAAGCUGGGAGUAUUCCAUAGACUCUUUGGUUUUGCCUUAUCUGACAUCUUGGUGGUGAGUAAUUAUGAUUCAGAGUGGCAGCUGGACCCAGUGAAGAACAUGCUGAUCCUCUCAGCACUGAAAGAGAUCCUGUAUACUGCAAAUGGAUUCUUAGAGGAUUUGCCUUUGAACAAAUAAGUAGACUGAUAAUCUUGGAGCUUGAAGGUAUCAGAAGAAAAAAGUUACCAUGUUGCAAAAACAUAAAAAGGAGAGACUUUAUCAUGCCUUAAUAAUGAAGUCAUCAACAAAGUAGUGAGAACAGAGGGAAUGAAGGUGGUGCAGAAACUGGAGUGCACUGCAACUGUGCCAGGGAAGCACAAGAUUACAGUGCCCUUCAUGAAAAGAGAAAUAAGAUAAAAAUGAUCCAUUAUAAAACCCAAUCACAACUCUGUUGGAUUUAUAUUCUGUAUCUAUGAAAAUAAAAGUUAAUUGUCUAAAACUCCAA